AUUGAACGCUGGCGGCAUGCCUUACACAUGCAAGUCGAACGGUAACAGGCCGCAAGGUGCUGACGAGUGGCGAACGGGUGAGUAAUGCAUCGGAACGUGCCCAGUCGUGGGGGAUAACUGCUCGAAAGAGCAGCUAAUACCGCAUACGACCUGAGGGUGAAAGCGGGGGACCGUAAGGCCUCGCGCGAUUGGAGCGGCCGAUGUCAGAUUAGCUAGUUGGUGGGGUAAAGGCCUACAAAGGCAACGAUCUGUAGUUGGUCUGGGAGGACGACCGGCCGCACUGGGACUAGGACCCGGCCCAGACUCCUACGGGAGGCAGCAGUGGGUAAUUUUGGACGAUGGGCGCAAGCCUGAUCCAGCAAUGACGCGUGCAGGAAGAAGGCCUUCGGGUUGUAAACUGCUUUUGUCAGGGAAGAAAUCUUCUGGGCUAAUACCCCGGGAGGAUGACGGUACCUGAAGAAUAGGCACCGGCUAACUACGUGCCAGCAGCCGCCGUAAAAC
rnacentral:rRNA from 1 species